GUGCGCGAACCCUAACAGCAGGGGUUAAUCACCCGUUCCCUCGGCCCUAAUUAAAGGGCCGUGGCCACGACCUAGGGAAGAGCCGACAUACAAUUGGGGGAUAUCUGCCGUUCCCCAACAUAGGCAACUAGGGAAAAGACAAGUUAUUUAAACGCAGGUUUUAGACCGAGCUGGGCAGUCUAGAAGCUGAGCCUACAAUCUACUGAACAGGGUCAAGGAGCUAGUGUCGUCCAGUAUCGCCUAGCCGCGUCUGAACUGCGAGUGACUAGUUGACUUAAGAGACGACGAACCAUCGGCUGCAACGAAGCUCACGGUAGUUCCCCUGAAGUUAGCGCAACCUGCUCCGGGGAAGACGUCAGACCUAGACUCCCGGGAAACCUAGCCCAGCAAUCGCAUCCACCGCAACGAGAUCGGCUUGCCAGCGUUCUUCGGGAAAGCUCUGGUGUCGACUCCACGCUUUAUGGACUUACUGUUGCUGCCCGGCCAUGUGUAUGCCAUCAUUUAUUUUCUUUUGAACUUUGUUUAGUUGACCACCGUUAAGUGUGUUUUGCGUAGUGUUAAUUUCAAUGUUCACUGUUCGUUGUAUUUCUUUUGGGUUCAUCAUUGAUCUAGAUUAAGUGCAUGUGUGUUAGUGUUCUGGUGUUUUUCGUGUUUCGUUUAAAUUGUGUGUCGUUGUCGGUCUAUAAGUUUUUUUUUUUAAUCUUUCUCCCUACUGUGUGUCCUUCGCUGUUGUUCGACGACUUCGUGCCGACGGCGAACGGUUGACAAGCCGUGACAGGACCUGAAGCGUAUUAUGCAUGCACCAACGGUCGCGUUGUACUGCAGCCGUCGAGCUAGUAUCCGGACACGAUGCAAGAGCGCUUGCAUCGUGUACGGGUACCGAAAUUUUUAAGUUAGAAUAAUAAAUUUCAGUGUGGACAGCCUGCCGACGAGCGUCAUUAGCGCAAGGACAUGAGCUGAUAUCAACACAAAAUAUACAAGGGCAAGAACAGUUCGAGUUGCUAUUUUACAAUGCUGGCAUUCCUGACCGGAUUGACGCAUGCGCAUUUAUAAGUGUACCCUACGCAGCGAGCUACCGACUUGCCUGCCUAAAUACGUGUAUUUUUUUUGCGGGUUUUUUUUUUUUUUUUUUUUUUUUUUUUUGCUCCUUCGAUCAGGCGAAAACAAGCGAUAUGGCCUUGGAAUACCCGGAGCGGAUGUUAGCUGGCACCGAGUCAACUGCCCUACGUACCCGCAGGGCGACCGUGACAUUUUACUGCGUUUGACAUUUGACAACGGCACCAUGAAGCACGUCCUCGUAAAAUGGGAGAGUGAGGACACGUGGGACGUGUAUCCAGUGAAGAGAAUCAGCGAUGUCGCCAUCGGGAUGGAGCUGCUUGGGGACCCGGCCAGCGCACUGGAAAAGUUUCAGGGGUCAUUGUGGGCGUCGUGUGACAGCCUGGAAAGCCACCAGCACCAGCCAGGAUUCUAGCUAUCGGGAGUCAGGCUUCCACGGAACGAAAAAGAAAUAGGCUGGCACUCGAAACUGUCGAGACUGACAGCCCAGCAACUGGUGCGAAGGUACACAUCGGUGACGGAGCCUGCGUUGAAGAAGGGCUGCUCAAGAGGCGGCGACUGGACGCAAAUAAUUCGGGCUCGCGGUUUGCGAGGGGCCUCCUCAAAGCUCUGUUUACGAAAGAAGAGCUCUUUGGGCGGCCCUCGAAUGCCCAUAAAGGGCUUCCGCAAAAGGAGCCACUGGACUUCAAGAAAGUCAACGCCAUACUGGACUACACAACGCAACACUUCAGCGUGCUACCAGGACAGCUGAAAAACUUCUUGUCAUCAUUGCUAGCCAGGCGGUAUUAAAUUGAUGU